UAAUACAGAGGCCUCGAGCGUUAGGCGGAAUCACUGGGCUUAAAGCGUGUGUAGGUGGAUGCCUAAGUACCUUGUGAAAUCCCACGGCUUAACCGUGGAACUGCUGGGUAUACUGGGUGUCUUGAGCCACUCAGGGGCUACCGGAACAAGCGGUGGAGCGGUGAAAUGCGUAGAUAUCGCUUGGAACGCCAAUGGUGAAAACAGGUAGCUGGGGGUGUGCUGACACUGAGACACGAAAGCCAGGGGAGCAAACGGGAUUAGAUACCCCGGUAGUCCUGGCCCUAAACGAUGUCCACUAGAUCGUGGCGGUUCUAACGCCGUCAUGGUCGAAGCAAAAGUGCUAAGUGGACCGCCUGGGAAGUACGGUCGCAAGGCUA
rnacentral:rRNA from 1 species